rnacentral:rRNA from 1 species
GAUGAACGCUGGCGGCGUGCCUAACACAUGCAAGUCGAGCGAGAAGCUCAUGACAGAAUCUUCGGAGGACGGAUUGAGUGGAAAGCGGCGGACGGGUGAGUAACGCGUGGGUAACCUGCCCUGUACAGAGGAAUAGCCAUUGGAAACGAUGAUUAAUGCCUCAUAAGACUACAGUAUCGCAUGAUACAGUAGCCAAAACUCCGGUGGUACAGGAUGGACCCGCGUUAGAUUAGCUAGUUGGUAAGGUAACGGCUUACCAAGGCGACGAUCUAUAGCCGACCUGAGAGGGUGAUCGGCCACACUGGAACUGAGACACGGUCCAGACUCCUACGGGAGGCGGCAGUGGGGAAUCUUGGACAAUGGGCGCAAGCCUGAUCCAGCCAUGCCGCGUGAGUGAUGAAGGCCCUAGGGUCGUAAAGCUCUUUCGCCUGUGAUGAUAAUGACAGUAGCAGGUAAAGAAACCCCGGCUAACUCCGUGCCAGCAGCCGCGGUAAUACGGAGGGGGUUAGCGUUGUUCGGAAUUACUGGGCGUAAAGCGCGCGUAGGCGGACUAUUAAGUCAGAGGUGAAAUCC